AGUGCAAAUGAUGAUAAAACUAGACAGGGACAUCAGAAACUCUUAAUGAGUGAAUCCAUGUUGAGUUGUCUUAAAUGGGAAUCUCUUUGAUGCUCU
rfam:Spinacia oleracea cultivar SynViroflay scaffold41581.con0004.1, whole genome shotgun sequence.